rnacentral:lncRNA from 1 species
UUAAACAACUUCCAUUCAAAAGUGCACCAGUGGUGCUGCGUGCCGCGGAGCCCGGCAAGCAAAACAUGCCCCGGGAAGAUAGCUGUGGAACCGCCAUUUUGUUUUUUUUGCUGUAAAAAAAUUUGAUAAU